rnacentral:rRNA from 1 species
UACGUAGGCAGCGAGCGUUGUUCGGAAUUACUGGGCGUAAAGAGUGUGUAGGCGGUGCUCUAAGUUCGGUGUGAAAUCUCCCGCUUAACUGGGAGGGUGCGCCGGAAACUGGAGUGCUCGAACGUGGGAGAGGAAAGCGGAAUUCCUGGUGUAGCGGUGAAAUGCGUAGAUAUCAGGAGGAACACCUGCGGUGUAGACGGCUUUCUGGACCAUUGUUGACGCUGAGACACGAAAGCGUGGGGAGCAAACAGG